GGAUUUCAGUUCCUUGAUCUUCCACGGAUCUCCUCCAGCCUGGGAAAACCUAAAAAGAUUUACAGCCCACUUUAUAACAUAUUUUCUAUAAAGCUCAGAUUCUGGUUUGGAAAAGUUUUAUCUCUGCUUUCAAUUGCAUUAACCUCAUCUUUCUUUGAGAAUAGGAUUUCUGAGAUACUUCUUUCCAUCUGCAGUAUAGGAACAGGAAUGCUACUUGCCUUCGAUCUAGCCUUGCAUUUUGAAGUUUUACUUUUAUGUUUGUCUGUCACUUUGUAUUUGUAUAGGCCCUUGUACAAUCAGGCAUUCAUCCCUGCUAAACUCUCAUUCUUCAGGGCUACCAGAUGAAUAUCCAGCUGCUUCCAUCCCUUUGAAGGAAAGGAACACAAACCUGCAGCCUUAGCUCCCACCCGUGCUACAGAAGGGGUUCAGCAUUCAGUCUGGUAAACAUUGACUACUUAUUUAACUUCCUGUAACAAGGAGUACAAAAACACUAUUUUGCAUGUAGACCCCAUUCAGUGGUUUCUGGAAGACCCUUUUGAAAUUCUCCUGGAUGCUGCUUGAGAAAUCUGGGCUUCUCACACAGGAGCUGAACUAUGCUCUAGAUUAAGUCUGGGAGCUGACAACUUGUGAAAUGUUAGUCAUCUUGUGAACUCCAUGCAUGUGUAUGUGCCAGGACUGUAUUACGUGCUGACAUCCUAAUGGCAGCAGGGAUAUGGCGAAGAA
rnacentral:lncRNA from 1 species